CUCUCUCUCUCUCUCUCAAAAAUAGACAUUUAAAUAAAUAAAAUAAAAAUUUUUUAAAAGACACAGUUACAGAAUUUACUAUUCUUUUGCUCAUUUAUACCAAUGCAUGAAUGAGAAACAGCAUGAAUUUUAGGGUUUUUUUUUUUUCUUUUGUGCAUUUAGAUCAAGCAGGACCAAUAAUUUCAGAUGAAAUCCCAUGAAAACAAGAGAAUGGUUUUCAAGUGUCUAUUCCACAUCUUCGCUUGGCACAAAUCAAAAUCACUUAGUUAACCUGCCUCUUGAAAAACAGAGCCUAUAAUGAAAAAGCUGUCAGAAAUUUAACAGUAGCUUGCCUGGUGCCUGGAUAAUGGGAAAGUUGCUGAGUUAACAGGGAAAGAAAAGGUUAGGAUAGAUACUGGCAAGAAAACAAAAAGGAAAUGGAAAUUUUAAGUGGAUUCUGCCUCAUCCACUGGUGCAUGGGGAAAGAAUUAAAUGUGAUGGAGUAAACCUAGUGUCUUUUUUAAGUUACUUGGAGAAAAGAAAAAGUCUGAGCUUGGAAGUUGGAAGUUCCAUCCGCUAACGAUCUGUUUCCAGGGAGGUGUCCGAGGCAAGCAGAGCAGCAGUGGGCACUGUGCCUUCAGUUUUCUCCUGAUGUUCAUUUGCAAUCAUAGCCAAUCAAUGUCGAGGACAUUACUAAGCAAUCCGGUGCUGUUUGCUUUUAAUUGGUAAACUAUCUUCCAAAAAUAACAUCUUUGGGCUUCACAACACCCUAGUCAUAGAGCCAUUACGGAAUGAAUGUCUUUACUGUACAAGAGGACCUCUAUGAAUAAUGAAUAGGGCUCUAUUUUUCCUGGGAAACAGACAUGUACUGGCAUGUUCGUGGUAAUGAACAGUAUUGUGAGUGUGCACAGCAUAGGAUGCUACCUCUGGUCUGACUUCUACCUUAAUUUAAGUAGAUAACUGAUUUUAAAACUCCACGGAGGGUCAAACAACCUUAUUUUAAACUUGGAGCAUGCUGCCUGGUUUAUAUGUUGCUUUUACAACUUUAAAAUGAUGAUUUAAUACAAAACUUGAGGAGAUGGAGGAUCAUGUUACGGUCUCUAAGGGGCAAGGCUGGCUUACACAAAUGUGAGAGGAAAAAAAAGAACAUUUGAACACGGCAUUUAAGGAAGUAGAAUUUCGUCUUUACUUUAAACUUCACAAAAACAUAGUUGAAUCAUGAAUCUCCUGAGCGCACAUAAAAAGUAAUUUUGUGCUGUGCAAAGUGUAACUAAAUUUGGAUAUUUGUGCAAGAGAUAGUUCACAAAAUUACUGAUGAAAAGUGAGAUCUAAGAUUUCAAAAUGAUAAUGACCUUGGAAUGUGUUUAAAACUAUUGGGCUUUUCCUUUAGGAAGAUCAUGAAAGAGCUUAAUGUAUUUUGUAAAUUACUUCCAUAAUGAUUUCACUUACAAAGAAUAUAAUUUGCUAGUCUAUUUUCAUAAUGAAUGAGAGCUUAAUGAAUCACACAUACUUCACCAUUCAACAGAAAUAUGGGGCAUCACAGCCCUGAAUUGAAAUAGUCAUUAUAAGAAGCCUUUGGACUUUGGCAAGAAGAUUUUAAGUUUUUUUUUUCUUUCUGUGUUUUGGGCUAAAGCGUGUUCCUGUUCAAGUUGAUUCAAAGAAUGAGUUAACCAUCAUGAAAAAUUAUUGUUCAUUGCAAUUGGUAGCAACUCAAAUGGAAAGUUUCAUAUUUGUGUAACGGUUAUGAAUUUUCACAGGACACAAACUCAGGUGUGAGGAAUGGAACUUCCUUUGGCUUCCUAUAAUGGAACUUAAUUUCGAUCCUAAGUCUCUCUUCUACUCAGUAGCAGGAAAUUUAACCUUGCCAAGUCAAUGUACAUGUAGUCACCUAAGAAUUUUCUCAGACGUAUCUCCCUCCCCAGGGAGGGUUCAUUUGGUCCGUGUGGAGAUGGUGAGACGUUUGGGCAUUGGUGAAAACAAAUCACCUGAUUGUUGGUCAUGGUUAUUUUCUGGGACAGCAUUAUCUGAGAUUAACAGAUCUUCUUCCGGUCCCUGACUUCUCACCUAGAAUCCUGCACCUCCACAAGUGUGUGUGAACUGCCAGUAGUGGUAGCUUUCUUUGCCUCAACUUACCUCUGCCCUCUGUGGGCUGCCCUCCUGCACCUCCAGCAGUUAUCUCAGUUCACAUGGCAUCCUUUCUGUAUUGAUUUCACUGCUCCCUUUCCAUUGCAGUACAAGGGACAUUAGAGACUAUACAGACUACAGUGUCUCCAGGUAGGAGAGUGCAAAUGCACAUCUCCACCCUCUGGAGACCCUGAUCCUAUCAAGGUUCAGCCCACACAGAGCACACAGGGAAACUACAUUCUAUUAGCUUCCAGCCUUCUGUCUUCUCCCUCACCCAGCAUUUUUAUUAGAAUGGAGCGAGAAAAUGACUCUUGCUUCAUAUGUGUUGCAUUCAUUCUAAUUUAUUGCUUAUGGCUUCCACAAGAGACCUUGUUUUUCCUUCAGAACUUAGGCUCCUUGAGUUGUACGUGAAUCACUAACUGCAGGCACACUCAGGAGGCUCUUGGUGCUUCCAAAAGGGGCAAGGGAGGGACUGUUCUGUAAACCUUAAUCAACCAAGGCAGGGCCUCAGAGUGAUUCUAUAGGUUCAAGCCAUUGAACAACUUGAGGCAUCCGGUUAACUCCGUGCACACAUGCAAGCGUGCGUGUGUGUGCGUGAAUGUGUGUACACGCAUACAUGCAUAUGGACACGCAUGAACAAGCAAGAGAGUGUUAGCCUGAGUUUGGAAAGUAUCUCAAAUACGAGACAUGAGGACAUGGCCUAUGUGUGUCCAGGUGUAGGCUUGGGGCACUGCCUCCCGAUCCAAAAUGACAUACCAGGCCUGGUUAUCCCAGCAACUGGAGAGAAACAAUUUUGACAAAAGAUAUUUCAAAGCCCAGGGGACCCUGAACUGUGAAAGAGGGACAAGGGAGAACUCCACUUGUCCAAAUUUAGGGCAAUCCUCUCUGUGGAUGGACUUCCACGUGUACAUUGGCUUCAGGUACUGGGAAUGUGAUGGUAAUCUUUCUCAGCUUUUCACGUCAACUCCACAACUUGUGACAACUCUGAUUUCUCUAAAUAGACUAUUUAUACAGCCCAUUUAUUCAUAAAAACAUUUAUCAAAUAUACAUAUCACAUAUAGGGCCCUAUUGAGUUGAGGUCCUUUCAAGUUUAAUUUUUUUUUCUUGAUAAUUGGAUAAGAAGAGGUGGUAUAGUAGAAGGCCUCAAGAAGAACAAACAAAUACAGAGAUCAUGCCUUCAAAACUUUCAAUCUCAGGCAUACUUACGAAGGUAUGUUUUACUAUUAUUUCUUUAAGGAAUACCACUUCAACUCCAUUAAUUAGUGUAGUAUAUUUUAAUGUAACUAUGGGCCACGUUAUGAUUUAUGUCUUAUGGAUUGACAACUGGCCUCUUUAUAUAACUUUCCUAAGAGCAACCAAAGCAGGGGUAUGGCUACACUUAGAAUGGUGACUUUGAUACACUAAUUGAAAGAGUAGUGGCUCAGAAUAUCCAGAAUUUUGGGUUUUGUUUGUUAAAUUUGAUUAUUCCAAACCCUAGAAAAAGGUCUUCCCUGUAACUGGCACUCAAUUAGGACUUGAGAAUCUAAAGAAUCUGAGAAUGAAUAAAAUGAUCAAUUUAGUGGAUUUAGCCGUUCUGACAUUCACCAUCUUCAUGUACCCUCAAGCCCUACAAGCCUAAGGUCAUUUUGAACCUAUUGAAUAUUUUCCAAUACAUUUUGGAGAAAAUUUUAAUUUCUUCGUGAUGGAGUUUAGUAUUUUAACUGGCUACAAACAGCAGAAUAAACAGUAAUGUCUUGACUAUUACCUUGCAAAAGAUCCUAAAAUCAUCAGUUUUCAAUACUUGAACAUAUGAUAUUAAUUCUGAUUCAAAAGCAGUCAAAUGAUCAUAACCUUUCAAGAAAAUGAAAUUUAAAUUAGAAUAAGAAAACUUAUCUUAGAUUUUCAGAAGAGCGUUAAGGGUCAGGAGGAGAGUCAAUUUUGCAAAUGAGUUAACGUGUGCUAUUAGAAUUCAUACUCAAGGAAUACAAUAAGUUAGCCAGAAAAUGGUAAGGAUGUGCACAUGUCCAGAGACUUACAGGUGCGCUAUAUAGGAAAAGAAAUGCUGAUCCUCUAUUCAAACCAAUUUAAAACCUCACACUAGCUCUACCAGUAGCAUCAAACUAACACAAAGAUAUUACAGCCAAUCAGGAUGCUAUUAUCCUUCCAGUAGCUAAACCAAUCAAUAGUUUAUUCCUCCCCAAGACCUAUUAUCAAGCCUGGCACUGUCUUAUAUGAGGUUUUAAACAUAAAUAAAGGUACACCUCUUGCUCUCCAAGAGCUUAUGGUCUAGUUUUCACAGAAAGAGGGAGGGAUGGCACAUAACAUUUGAGUCCCUCGUGUUUUUCUGCCAUUGUUGUGUAUGAUUUCAACCAAAUAAAACCCUGUGAAAAAAACGGAAUUCAAAAUUGGAUUUGUUCUUACCACUACACCACAUUGCAAGAAUCACAAUUCAAAUUUUCAGUGUCGAGAAGGGCAUCUUGCGUCUAGAAAACGUUAUCUUUUGACUAUUCUGACUAUUUCCAUGUUUAAAGUCAUUGUAGAAGUCUGAGGAUCUGGAUAGCUGGUCUGUGCUAUCUGCUGUGCUAAAUUUAUGUGUUCAUGAACAUAAAUAAUACAAAUAUAUUUACAUAUAUGUAAUGUA